CCUGGACAAGAACCAUCAGCAAUGGCAAAUGAGAGUGUCCUAAUGUGAUCAGCAACAACCCUGUAGGCCAUAUCAACCUUGUCUACAUCAUCAAGACCAACUUUUCCAGAAUAAGGUCGUGCCCCUGUUGCCAGCUGGAUAGCAUCAAAGAUGGGCACGAACACAUCAGUAUCAUAAUUGCUCAUCUUGUUCUGAAGUACAGAAGUCAAUCUCUCAAAACCCAUUCCUGUGUCAACAUGCUUAGCAGGAAGAGAUUUCAAGGAGCCAUCACUUUCCCUAUUGAACUGAAUAAAGACGAGGUUCCAUAUCUCGAUGCAUGUAGGAUCAUCAUUAUUAACCAAUAGUGCUGCAUCACGAUUACCAACUCUAUCAUAAUGUAUUUCGGUACAAGGGCCACAAGGACCAGUAUCACCCAUCUCCCAAAAAUUAUCUUUACAGCCAAAUGGUAGCACACGUCCAGGUGGCAGAAAUUGAAGCCAUAUAUCUCUUGCUUCAGUAUCAGGAGCAAGACCAGCUUUCUCAUCACCACCAAAAUAGGUAGCAUAGAACCGAUCAGCAGGCAACUUAUACACCUUAGUUAAAAGCUCCCAGGCCCACUCAAUCGCCUCUUUCUUGAAAUAAGCACCAAAUGACCAAUUUCCCAACAUCUCAAAGAAAGUAUGGUGGUAAGUGUCCUUCCCCACAUCAUCAAGAUCAUUAUGUUUACCCCCUGCACGAAUGCACUUUUGGGUAUUGCAUGCACGAGUUAGCUUACUCAAAGCGGUGUUGGGGUCAGCAGUUCCCAAAAAAAUUGGCUUGAAUUGGUUCAUGCCAGCAUUAGCAAAGAGGAGAGUGGGAUCAUUGAGAGGAACGACAGGACUCGAUUUCCAAUGAACGUGAUUUUUAUCCUCAAAGAACUUGAUGAAAGUAUCUCUGACUUUCUUCGCUGGCCACUCGGGCUCCUUUGGAUCUAAGCCCGGCAUGACUGGAAUUCGAGAAGAUGGAGAAGAAGAAGAAGAAGAUGAGAAGGAAGUUCGCAUCUUAGGGUACUCCAUGUGCUUUAAGCGGCGAAGAGAGAGCGAAUCAUCAUCGAUUUCGUCGAAAAGAACGGCAACAUCGGGUGAAUUGGACCUUGAAGAGCGGAGAAAGUCGGUGAAGUCAUGGGGUAACCAGCCGCUUUGUAUGUCGGAUCCUGAGAUAUUUGAUAUGAUGGAGAAGGAAAGAGAGAGGCAAUAUAAGGGUCUUGAAUUGAUAGCUUCGGAGAAUUUUGUUUGUCGAGCAGUAAUGGAGGCUCUGGGAAGUCAUUUAACGAACAAGUACUCGGAAGGAAUGCCUGGGUCGCGAUACUACUGUGGGAAUCAGUACAUAGAUGAAAUAGAAACGCUGUGUUGGAAGCGAGCCUUGAAUGCUUUUGGUUUGGAUUCAGAGAAAUGGGGAGUCAAUGUGCAGCCUUAUUCGUGUACCUCUGCAAAUUUCGCAGUUUAUACGGGUUUGUUGCUGCCCGGAGAUAGGAUAAUGGGGUUGGAUAAUCCUUCCGGAGGGAAUACCAGCCACGGUUAUUAUAUGCCCAGUGGGAGGAAAGUGUCAAGUGCCUCCAUUUUCUUUGAGAGUUUGCCGUACAAGGUGAAUCCGCAAACUGGGUAUAUCGAUUUUGAUAAGCUGGAGGAGAGGGCACUUGAUUUUAGGCCAAAAAUACUUAUUUGUGGCGGGAGCUCGUAUCCAAGGGAGUGGGAUUAUGCUAGGUUUAGGCAGAUUGCCGAUAGGUGUGGUGCUGUACUUUUGUGUGAUAUGGCUCAGAUUAGUGGUCUUGUUGCUGCUAAGGAAUGUGUAAAUCCGUUUGAUUACUGUGACAUUGUUACCUCAACAACACAUAAAAGUCUUCGAGGUCCUAGGGGAGGUAUAAUUUUUUUUAGGAAGGGUGUGAAGCCAAGGAAAAGAGGAAUGCUUGUGGGUCAAGGAGAUGAUAGUGAUCAGUAUGACUUUGAGGAAAAGAUAAACUUUGCUGUCUUUCCAUCAGUACAAGGCGGACCACAUAAUAACCAUAUUGCUGCUCUUGCCAUAGCCUUAAAACAAGUAGCUACUCCUGAGUUCAAGGUGUACAUGCAACAGGUGAAGAAGAAUGCACAGGCUUUAGCCUGUGCUUUGUUGAGAAGAAAAUGCAGGCUAGUAACUGGAGGCACAGACAACCACUUUUUACUUUGGGAUUUAAGGCCUCUGGGAUUAACAGGUGUAGUGCUGUUUUAUAUUGCUGUUCAUGAGACGAUACCUUUUUUUUCUUCUUUUAUGAAGAAAAAAUCUACUGAUUCAAUUUUAUUUGUCCAAAUUUUUUCUUUCUCAUUCUCAAAAGCAUUUAAGAGAUCCAUCAUUUAGAUAAAUUGAGAAAAUCACAAUUAUGUGUCCCUUUUUCUGCUGAUGGCUUGAUUCCUUGAAGUUCAACCAAGCUUUCUCUCUCUUUCGUUUUCUCCCUCUCCUUCCUCUGGUUACCAUGAUACCACUCAACUUAAUCAUUCCAUUUAGCUGGAGCUGGAUGCAUGAACCGUAUUCCUCCAUUCAUCUUUACUGAGGAUGUGUUCUAUUUAAUAUGUUUGAAUCAAGCCAUUUCUUAUAACUUCCAACUUCUUUUGUCCUUUUUCUCCCUUUGUUCUUCCUUUUGUUCAAUUGAUCUGCGUCUGUUGGCUAUAGUCAAACUAUGUUCAUUGACCUUCCCUUCUCUUCAACUUGGGCCUUUUGUUGGAUGUAUGCAUUGUUUUUUGAUAUUUUUGUGUAUUAUCAAGUUCUUGUUUGAGCUGCUCUGACUUCAUGGAGAUGUUGUUUCUCUCCUGGGCAAAAUGUUGUUGCAUAAAGCAAUGUUGGCAUUAUUUCCUUCUACAGAAUAUGGGUAAAUUUGAUUAGAUAUACAAGUGUUCUUUCUUUCCUUCAUAGACAUGACUUAGCCUCUCAAGCUGGAGGUCUUUCUUUUGCUUGCUUACAUUCUGAUUUUUGUCAUAACAAUAAGUUAUGCAUGUAUUUGUGCUUUUGUGUGUGGGAAGCUUUUCUAUUCUGACAUGAAAUUCUGUUUUUGAGUUCACUCAUCAUUCUGCAUCUGUCUGCAUAUUUUCUGCACUGAAUCUAGUGGAACUUAUUUUAUUGCAGCCUAAUGUUUUUAUACAAGAAGGUUUCCCUUGUCUUUCAACAAUUUUAUUUGUUUAUUGGUUUUUUCAGGGAAAACUUAUGAGAAGCUCUGUGAGUUGUGCCACAUCACUGUAAAUAAAAUUGCUAUUUUUGGUGGCAAUGGCACCAUUACUCCUGGAGGAGUAAGGAUUGGUACUCCUGCUAUGACAUCAAGAGGUUGCCUGGAAUCUGAUUUUGAGACAAUUGCUGAUUUUCUCCUAAGAGCUGCGCAGAUUGCUAGUAUGAUGCAGCGUGAGCAUGGAAAGGCUUUCCUAAAGGGUUUGCAGAGCAAUAAGGAAAUUUUGGAGCUCCGGAAUCGUGUUGAAACUUUUGCAACUCAGUUUGCAAUGCCAGGUUUUGACUUGUGAAUAGGUUUUAAGAAUGCAAUUUUCAAAUUCAUACUUGCUGCAUGCCAGGCCUCUUCUGCUCUUUGCAACCAUGUCAAAUGUAAAUCAGUUAGUCGCUUUUAUGCACUGGAUUGGCCUCUAAAACAGCAGUUUUAAGUAGGUCUUUCGAUUGCCUGAUAUAGGAAUUUUGCUCAGUUCAUGGAUGAUGGAAGGAUCUUUCUGGUAUUGACCCUUUCUCAUCAUUCACUUGUGCAUUGUGGAUUUUUUAUCAAAUGGUGGUGGCACUCCUGUGAUAGAUGAGGGUUUUAUAUGGACAAAUUGGGAAAGGGAAAUCUAAACUUAGCAUCUUCUAUUCGAGAAGGUUGUAGCUAUCAAUACAUUAGCAACUUUCUUAAAGAUGGGUGACAAUUUGAAGAUUAAUUGAUUCUCAUUACGGCCUUAUAUUUGAGAGAGCCUAUAGAAUAUAUAUAAAAAUAUUCUUGAUGCAUUGGGAAAUAAAGCCCGGAUUUUUUUUUUAAACGAGCACAAUGUGAGGUCAAUAAUCCUUUUGAUCUAUCUUGGCAUU
rnacentral:misc_RNA from 1 species